AAAAGGAAGUUAUGUCGGCCAUUUUGUCUCCUGUGUUUGUUAAGAACAAAAAAAGACAUUGACGGACGGAUUAUUGCCUUUCCAUAAUGGCACUAUCAUUUUUUCCAAGAAGAAUUUUGUUAUUUGGAUUCGUAUCAGAGAAAAAAUUGUUCAUGUCAGUUCAGCGUUUAAUUACUACCAGCUGCAGUAUUCAAUCAUUUUAAGAAUUAUAACAAUGACUUCGUCACAAAUCACAAGACAGUUUCACCAGCGCAGAUGACCUAAAUUUUAGUAUUGAACGUUACAAGUUUUGGAUUUUAGUGCAUGAUCAAUAUGUGUCCAAGAACAUAUUUAACUCAACGACAGCUGGAAUUAAGUGUCUGUCUGUUCAUGUGCUUGAUUUUAAUUGUUGUGUCGUCACCUGACGUCAGCGUUUUAAAUAUAACCAGACACAGACAAAUCAAUAAUCGACCAAAAAGGGUUUCAACACAGUAGCGAUUCCCUGUCAAUGAGGUGGACUCUUGUCCUACAACUAAUGUCACGUGGUAUGAAGCUGGUGCCAGAUUAAACUGUUCUCAUGACUUCUUCAACAGACUUCAGUACCUCUGUAUUCCCAAUCAGGAAAAGACAACUCUACUGGAAUUUUGUUAUGACAAGAUUAUGGGUCUUUACGAAAAAGGACACUGCCUACAUUUAUCAACAUCUGGGUUCGUGGACCAAGAGGAUUGUGACUUUUUUAUUGAGGGAUGUCCAAAGACACCUUAUUACAGCAGCACCAUUUUUCAAUUUUUGAAAUGCUUGGAAAUAAACAGAGACCUGAGAUGCUUUUCGGCUGAUCUGG